GCCAGUACUUGGAUGGGAGACCAACUGGGAAAGC
rnacentral:rRNA from 1 species